UACGUAGGGUGCAAGCGUUGUCCGGAAUUAUUGGGCGUAAAGAGCUCGUAGGCGGUCUGUCGCGUCGGCUGUGAAAUCCCGAGGCUCAACCUCGGGUCUGCAGUCGAUACGGGCAAACUAGAGUAUUGCAGGGGAGACUGGAAUUCCUGGUGUAGCGGUGAAAUGCGCAGAUAUCAGGAGGAACACCGGUGGCGAAGGCGGGUCUCUGGGCCUUACCUGACGCUCAGGUGCGAAAGCUAGGGGAGCGAACAGG
rnacentral:rRNA from 1 species